ACGGGGGGCCUACGGGAGGCAGCAGUGGGGAAUAUUGGACAAUGGGCGAAAGCCUGAUGCAGCCAUGCCGCGUGUGUGAAGAAGGUCUACGGAUUGUAAAGCACUUUAAGUUGGCAGGAAGGGCAGUAAGUUAAUACCUUCCUGUUUUGACGUUACCGUCAGAAUAAGCACCGGCUAACUCUGUGCCAGCACCCGCGGUAAU
rnacentral:rRNA from 1 species